UAGCCACGGUCACGGGAUAAACGUUUUGCCUGACGAAGACAGAAAUUGCCUAGUAUCGGCGUUUGGAUCUUUCUCGAUGUUUCCAAAGAGUAUA